rnacentral:rRNA from 1 species
UGAGUAACCUGCCCUUAACUCUGGGAUAAGCCUGGGAAACUGGGUCUAAUACCGGAUAUGACUCCUCAUCGCAUGGUGGGGGGUGGAAAGCUUUAUUGUGGUUUUGGAUGGACUCGCGGCCUAUCAGCUUGUUGGUGAGGUAACGGCUCACCAAGGCAACGACGGGUAGCUGGUCUGAGAGGAUGGCCAGCCACAUUGGGACUGAGACACGGCCCAGACUCCGUACGGGAGGNAG